rnacentral:rRNA from 1 species
GACGAACGCUGGCGGCGUGCUUAACACAUGCAAGUCGAACGGAAAGGCCCUGCUGUUGUGGGGUGCUCGAGUGGCGAACGGGUGAGUAACACGUGAGUAACCUGCCCUUGACUUUGGGAUAACUUCAGGAAACUGGGGCUAAUACCGGAUAGGAGCUCCUGCUGCAUGGUGGGGGUUGGAAAGGUUCGGCGGUUGGGGAUGGACUCGCGGCUUAUCAGCUUGUUGGUGGGGUAGUGGCUUACCAAGGCUUUGACGGGUAGCCGGCCUGAGAGGGUGACCGGCCACAUUGGGACUGGGAUACGGCCCAGACUCCUACGGGAGGCAGCGGUGGGGAAUAUUGCACAAUGGGCGGAGGCCUGAUGCAGCAACGCCGCGUGCGGGAUGACGGCCUUCGGGUUGUAAACCGCUUUCGCCUGUGACGAAGCGUGAGUGACGGUAAUGGGUAAAGAAGCACCGGCUAACUACGUG